rnacentral:rRNA from 1 species
CCUACGGGAGGCAGCAGUGAGGAAUAUUGGUCAAUGGACGAGAGUCUGAACCAGCCAAGUAGCGUGAAGGAUGACUGCCCUAUGGGUUGUAAACUUCUUUUAUAUGGGAAUAAAAUGUUCCACGUGUGGGAUUUUGUAUGUACCCUAUGUAUAAGGAUCGACUAACUCCGUGCCAGCAGCCGCGGUAAUACGGAGGAUCCGAGCGUUAUCCGGAUUUAUUGGGUGUAAAGGGAGCGUAGGUGGAUUGUUAAGUCAGUUGUGAAAGUUUGCGGCUCAACCGUAAAAUUGCAGUUGAAACUGGAAGUCUUGAGUAUAGUAGAGGUGGGCGGAAUUCGUGGUGUAGCGGUGAAAUGCGUAGAUAUCACGAAGAACUCCGAUUGCGAAGGCAGUUCACUGGACUGCAACUGACACUGAGGCUCGAAAGUGUGGGUAUCAAACAGGAUUAGAUACCCGAGUAGUC